AUUCGAAGCCAACAGGACGCCGUGUUGGGAGAUGGAGUCAUAUUUGUAAUUCUUUGUAUUUUAUGUUCACUCGAAAGGGAAAAUAUGGCUUGAACAUGAGCAGAUUCAUAAAUCAGUGAUUGGAGGUGCAAAUUCUAAACAUUUGGACCUCUAACUCAUCAAUGACUUCACGAUUUCAAAUGUUUUUCAAGCAAACCUCCAAAAGUAUUAGAUAGAAACUCCAGGAAAACAUGGAGCCAAAAGUUGAUUUAAAUUUUGAUGUGAAAAUAUUCUGCCAAAAUUUACGGGCCACUAAACCACCUUACAAGUGUCCUGUUGAUAGUUGUGGUAAGGUGUACAAGAGCUUCUCGGGCAUUCAGUUCCAUCUGUACAACUAUGAUCAUGACAAUCCAGAGAAUGUGCCAUCACCAGCAUCAGUCAAGAAGACGAAGAAGAAAUUGGCAAAGUGGCAUCAUCGGCAAAAUCGUCGGUCACCUACCCCACCUGAGUUUUUCCGAUCACCGACAAGAGAGACUUUGACUUACGCAGAGGCUCAAAGACUUGUAGAAAUUGAUCUUGAAGGGAGAAUCCACAGAAUAGAUAUUUAUGAACCUUUAGAAAUAAUUUCACAAGACGAGAUUGAUAAUCAACACAAUACUGAAAAAGAAGAAAAGGCAGAAAAAUCUCCCCUCAAAGGUGGGAAAAGUACAGACAAUAACAAGAAAAAGGAAAAUGGUACUGUGAUCUCAAAUAAUACUGUCAAACUUCCUGAGGCACAAGUUAAAGUAUUAGAUGAUUAUAUCAAACCAUCUGGGCCUCCACAGCGAACAUCUUCCUACUAUCGUUACAUGGAGAAAUCAUCGGAUGAGUUGGAUGAGGAAGUAGAAUAUGACAUGGAUGAAGAGGAUCAUGCUUGGCUUGAGAUUCUGAAUGAUAAGAGGGAUACAGAUGGAAUACAAACGGUUUCGCAAGAAGUGUUUGAAACACUUAUGGAUAGGUUUGAAAAAGAAGCUUACUUCCAAAGUCAAAGCUCAGGAAAAGAUCCGAAUCCCUCCAUUGACGAAGAUGCUGUGUGCUCAAUAUGUAUGGAUGGCGAAUGCCAAAAUAGCAAUGUGAUUCUCUUCUGUGACAUGUGUAACUUGGCAGUUCAUCAGGAGUGCUAUGGUGUACCCUACAUUCCAGAAGGACAGUGGUUGUGUCGGCGCUGUUUACAGUCCCCAUCGCGAGCAGUUGACUGCUGUCUGUGUCCCAACAAGGGAGGUGCUUUCAAGCAGACAGAGGAUGGACGUUGGGCCCAUGUGGUUUGUGCUCUCUGGAUCCCAGAAGUGGGGUUCGCCAACACAGUAUUUCUCGAGCCCAUUGACAGUAUAGACAGGAUUCCAGCUGCUCGAAAGAAAUUGACUUGUUACAUUUGCAAGCAGAGGGGUUCGGGGGCAUGUAUUCAGUGUCACAAGACCAAUUGUUACACAGCAUUUCACGUGACUUGUGCCCAACAAGCAGGACUCUUCAUGAAAAUAGAGCCUGUUCGGGAAUGUGGACCAAACGGAACGACAAAUGGAGUCAGAAAGACAGCGUACUGUGAUGUGCACACUCCUGCGGACUCGGACUGUACGCCUCAUUUAGCAGAUGAAGACAAGUCAGUGUCUGCUAAAAAGGCAAAAGAAAAAUCAAGAAUCAAGAUGAGAAAAGCAAGGAAAAUUUUAGCAGAGAAACGCAAUGCUGUGCCAGUUGUGUCAAUACCAAUUAUUCCACAGUCGAGGUUAACUCGGAUUUCUAGUCUGGUGUCUCUUCAGAAGAAGGAUCAAUUUCUCAAGCGUCUGCUCAGCUACUGGACCCUCAAGAGACAGUCCCGGUUUGGAGUGCCAUUGCUCAGAAGGUUACAAUCUAAUCAUAUGACACGCAACAAGGAACAUCAAUCAAAGAAUGAUAAGCAGAGCAAUGCUCUUCGUGAGCAACUUAAAUACUGGCAGAGAUUGAGGCAAGAUCUGGAGAAAGCGAGAUUACUAGUGGAACUUAUUCGCAAGAGAGAAAAAUUAAAAAGAGAACAGAUUCGAUUCCACCAGCUUGCCACAGAGUAUCAGCUUCAGCCGUUUGUGUUACUUCUCCGACAAACCCUGGAACAGUUGGAGGAAAGAGACACCACCAGUAUCUUUGCAGAACCUGUGUCUCUGAAAGAGGUUCCCGAUUAUUUGGAGUACAUUGACAAGCCAAUGGAUUUUCAAACAAUGCGGAAGAGAGUCGAUGGUCACUUCUACACGAGUGUGGAUGAGUUUGAGAGUGAUUUUGAGCUGAUUGUGCACAACUGUCUGACGUACAAUGCCAAAGACACCAUGUUCUACAAGGCUGCGGUGAAGCUGAGGGAUCAGGGAGGAGGCAUAAUUCGUUCUACACGGCGCAUGGCAGAAAGAAUAGGUUUUGACAUGGAGACUGGUAUGCACAUCAGGGAGGUCCCAAGCAAACAUGAUAAAGAACCUGUCAUCCUUGAAGACAUUGACAGAUUCAUGCAGAUGGACAUCCGAGAGGGAAUGCCCCUAGAGGAACAACUGAGAAUCCUCCUGGACAAGAUGGAUGUGGCCAAUACCAUGCCUAGAGGAGGUCGAAGGUCUAAAUUUGCCAAAAGAAUUAAGAAGGAAAUAUUCAAAGUGAGGAGAAAGUUGGCGUUACAAAAAGGACAAUGUGCAAUGGAUGCUGCUGAUGAAACAGCAUCAUCAGAAGCUGCUUCUGCAGAAGAGUGUGAGAGCCAGCCAGUUUCUCCAAUGAGAUACCCCAGUACUUCCACACCUGGCCGACCAUCACUCAAAGACAAGCUCGCUGACAAGCCUACUCCCAAACCAGCUGGGCGAGGCACACCGGGCAGACCUCCAGGGCGAGGCCGCGGGCGGGGCAGACACCGGGCCCAGAGUACAAGGAGUGAAUCUGACCAAGUAGACACACCUAAACAUCAGGCAGGGGACAAGCAGCAUAAUGCGGAGACGGGCAAGUUGGGCUCCCACCACCAGUCCCAUGCAGAUAUGAAAGGGACCACGACACCAUCACCGUCUCCAUCGGGGGUCAACCGGCGCACUGCUGUUUUGUUGAAUAGUAAAAAAGCCCGUAAUUCUUCUUCCAAUGCUUCUACACCUUCCACGCCUACACAGCCCCGAAAAGGCCCUGGUCGGCCACCCAAAAACAGACCACCACCAGAACCUGUAUCCCCUAGGUCGCCUGUGCUGGAGUCCUCGUCCGGUAGCCGCGGGCCGGCUAGCCCCUCUACAGGGGCGCGGAAGCGAUCUGCCAGCACAGGAGCUUCCCACUCUGAUGGUCGUCCUUCACCCCCGAAGAGAGCCCACUCAAUGACUGAAACAUUACCUUCCCUAAGCGAGAGUAGCCACAUCCCAACUAAAGCAAGUUUCCAGGUGUACCGUGUCGGAAACAUCCGCAGUUCCUCUGAGUCCGAGAGCACCUCUGACCUGAGCAGUGGCGACGAAGAGCUGUCUGACAGCUCGACGGCAAGCUCCUCCAACAACAGCAGAUCAGAGGAUAAUUCUGACGCGACUGAGAACAGCAACGGGCAACGAGAUGGGCCUGACCUUGAACUUGGCAAUUGGAACGGCAUGUCGGGUAGCUCUCCUGCUUCUGCUUACAGCACAUCCAACUCCCCUCCUCAAUCCUCUUCCGCCCAGCAUGCAGCCAAGAGAAAGAAAAAAGAAAGCAUUAAAUUAGGCUCGGAUCUCACAGAGGAGGAUCUUUUUAUCAGAAGAACAAGGAACCGAUCCUAUGAUCAACAGGUUUAUAAAAGCACAGUUAUAAACUCAGCCUUGAAUAAAAGGAAGUCUGUACGGUUUGACUUAAACUACACAUCAGAAGAACGUACAAGUAAUCAAGUCAAAGAAAUUAAGUUGGUCCAGUAUAUAAGAGAAUCAGGUGGUAAUAAACUUGAAAACAGACCUGCAAGUAAAAGAUGUGGAGAGGGAAAGUAUGAAAGAGAACUUGGUGGUCAUAAACUUGAGACCAGAAGUUCGAGCAAACGAUUUAGAGAGGCAGAAUGUGGAAGAGAAUCGGGUGGUAAUAAACGUGAGACCAAAAGUACAGGAAAGAGAUGUAGAGAGUCCCAGAAUCAAUGUUCCAGCUCUGUAGGAGGUACACAAGUACACACUAGGGCCACACACAAGACGCUACUGGUAACCAGUGUUGACUUUACUGGGUCAGACCUCUUUGAGGUAUACACACAUCAGGGUUCUUCACAGAGAGAACAGUGUCAUGGAAACAUUCCUGUCAUGACACGAACCAGGGCUGGAAGCAAGGGAGCAGGCUACUCCUCAAUGCUACGUAGUCGGGACAAGAACUGUAAUUCUGCCAGGGAGAUUAAUCAAAGUGACACUGAUGCUGUAUUCAAAGACUGUAUGGGAGCAAUGGCAGUCGAAGGUUGCAUUGUAUCAGCUGUACACGAAGACAUCAUUGAGAGCUCUGAUGGUGACGAGCUGAGUUCUGGGAGAACAGGAUCUCCUGCUGGAAAGGCAAAAUGUCCAGCCUCUCUCGGAGAACUGUCAGGCUUUGCUAGCUCUUCUGGCAGAUGGGCGACUGCUUGGGAGGGCAAACUGCACCAGUCACACAACCUCAGGUUUUGUCACCAGCUGUGCUCGCCCCAGACGAAGUCCCAGCUUUGAAUCUGAUGAUGUGAUUGCCCUGGAGCCCCUUGACCUGGUGUGGGCCAAGUGUCGCGGAUAUCCCUGGUACCCUGCACUGAUAAUAAAUCCCAAGAUGCCAAAGACUGGCUAUUUCCAUAAUGGUGUCCCCAUCCCAGUCCCUCCUGAGGAUGUUCUCAACCUGCAGAAAUGCUAUGAUGAAACAGUGUACCUGGUUCUCUUCUUUGACACGAAGCGCA